ACGGCGUUUGGUAGUGGGAAUGUGAUACUGAGUCAAGUUUUAGUGGGGUUUACUGGUGUGCCGCUGGAGGUUUCCCUGGAUACAGCGCUUGUUGGUGACGAUCUAUUCAUCGGUCCCUCACAGCUGACAUCUGCGUAACAGCACAGAAUUUCUCCAAAUUUGAUCCAAACAAUGAAAACGGUCCUGCUGAUUCCGUUAUUUUUGGUCCUCGCCUUCGCACACGCACGCGAUGCUGACAUACAUUUUGAAGACAAAUCAAUCAACAACUGGAGACUCCUGAUAGGUGCAAAUGAAAAGGAACUGAAGUACGACUUUUGUCGGUAUAACGCGACAAGCGGCGGAACACAGUGCACAAAUUUUCCGCAGGUCGCCUCGAUAAACAUAAAAGAUGUGUGCCAUUGCACCGUCGAUAGCACGCCGAUCAAAACUGGCUCCAUCACUUUCUCCGUCAGCUGCCACAGCAAUUUGAGUUGGUGCCCCCAGAAUCUGGACCUAAAGUACCAGCAAGGUUCCAUCGAGAAGUCUCCACUCGCUGAAGCAUGUUCAGAAACUAGUAUCGGUCUGCAUUAUU